GACGAACGCUGGCGGCGUGCCUAAUACAUGCAAGUCGAACGCAGUGGGGACGGGUGAGUAACACGUGGGUAACCUCCCAUCAGAGGGGAUACCACUUGGAAACAGGUGCUAAACCGAUACUGAUGGAUGGACCCGCGGUGCAUUAGCUGGUUGGUGAGGUAACGGCUCACCAAGGCCACGAUGCAUAGCCAACCUGGAGGGGGGAUGGGCAAAACGAGUACGGAGACGCGUCCCAGACUCCUACGGGAGGCAGCAGUAGGGAAUCUUCGGAAAUGGACGAAAGUCGGACCGGGCAACGCCGCGUGAGUGAAGAAGGUUUUCGGAGCGUAAAACUCUGUUGUUAGAGAAACGGUAUCUAACCAGAAAGCCACGGCUAACUACGUGCCAGCAGCCGCGGUAAUUC
rnacentral:rRNA from 1 species